AUACGGGCCGCACCAGUGGGGAAUAUUGGACAAUGGGGGCAACCCUGAUCCAGCAAUGCCGCGUGAGUGAAGAAGGCCUUCGGGUUGUAAAGCUCUUUUAUUCGUGAUGAUAAUGACAGUAACGAAUGAAUAAGCCCCGGCUAACUCUGUGCCAGCAGCCGCGGUAAUACAGAGGGGGCUAGCGUUGUUCGGAAUUACUGGGCGUAAAGGGCACGUAGGCGGCCAUUUAAGUUGAGUGUGAAAUCCCUAGGCUUAACCUAGGAACUGCAUUCGAUACUGGAUGGCUAGAGACAGAGAGAGGGAAGUGGAAUUACGAGUGUAGAGGUGAAAUUCGUAGAUAUUCGUAGGAACACCGGAGGCGAAGGCGGCUUCCUGGCUCUGAUCUGACGCUCAGGUGCGAAAGCGUGGGGAGCAAACAGGAUUAGAUACCCCCGUAGUC
rnacentral:rRNA from 1 species